rnacentral:rRNA from 1 species
UGCGUAGGGUGCAAGCGUUAUCCGGAAUUAUUGGGCGUAAAGAGCUCGUAGGCGGUCUGUCGCGUCUGCUGUGAAACCUGGGGGCUCAACCCCCAGCCUGCAGUGGGUACGGGCAGACUAGAGUGCGGUAGGGGAGACCGGAAUUCCUGGUGUAGCGGUGGAAUGCGCAGAUAUCAGGAGGAACACCGAUGGCGAAGGCAGGUCUCUGGGCCGUAACUGACGCUGAGGAGCGAAAGCGUGGGGAGCGAACAGGAUUAGAUACCCUGGUAGUCCACGCCGUAAACGUUGGGCGCUAGAUGUGGGGACCAUUCCACGGUUUCCGUGUCGCAGCUAACGCAUUAAGCGCCCCGCCUGGGGAGUACGGCCGCAAGGCUAAA